rnacentral:rRNA from 1 species
CCUACGGGUGGCAGCAGUGGGGAAUAUUGCGCAAUGGGCGAAAGCCUGAACCAGCCAAGUAGCGUGAAGGAUGAAAGCCCUAUGGGUUGUAAACUGCUUUUAUAAAGGAAUAAAACGAGGCACGUGGGCCGUUUUGCAUGUACGUUAUGAAUAAGGAUCGGCUAACUCCGUGCCAGCAGCCGCGGUAAUACGGAGGAUCCGAGCGUUAUCCGGAUUUAUUGGGUUUCAAGGGAGAGUAGAUGGGUUGUUAAGUCAGUUGUGAAAGUUUGCGGCUCAACCCUAAAAUUGCAAUUGAUACUGGCAGUCUUGAGUACAGUUGCGGUAGGCGGACUUCGUGGUGUAGCGG